CUCCAGGUCGCCAAAUGGAAAGACAUCGGUCCGCAAAACCGACAUGCGAGAGUUUCUCCAUGCGGAGACGCUUCGCGAACGAUUCUCUCCCUGGAGUCCA
rnacentral:tRNA from 1 species